AAAAAAAUGUAUCUGCAAAAGCGACUCGAAGACGAUUUAGAUUUGUCUCCUGAAUAUAAAACUUCCAAGAAGUACAUCAUAUAUGAAUAUCCUGUAUCCUCGCAUUUGAUGUAUUGAACUGGCGAUAGAAUGAAAUCAGUCAGUGUUAAAAAUGUAUGUGUAAAAGCGACUUUAAGAUGAUGGAGAUUUGUACACUGAACAUAAAACUUCCAAAAUUUGGGGCAGUAUGUCAUAUGUGCAUAAUCUGUAUCCUGGCAUUUGAUGCAAUGAACUGGCGAUAGAAUGAAAUAAUGAAAAAUAGGCAGGCUGUUUGAUGUAUAAGGAAGUGGCGAUAGAAUACUUAUGCAACACUUCACACUUCACGCCCCAAAAAUAGAAUUACGUUCAUUAGAUAUACAACAAUUUUCAUUAAAUAUACUGUUAUUAAUAUGUUAAGAUUGAAUAAUUUGUAAAAAGUUUUCUAGUAU